UACGUAGGGUGCGAGCGUUGUCCGGAAUUAUUGGGCGUAAAGGGCUCGUAGGCGGUCUGUCGCGUCGAAAGUGAAAACCCAGGGCUUAACCCUGGGCCUGCUUCCGAUACGGGCAGACUAGAGGUAUGCAGGGGAGAACGGAAUUCCUGGUGUAGCGGUGAAAUGCGCAGAUAUCAGGAGGAACACCGGUGGCGAAGGCGGUUCUCUGGGCAUUACCUGACGCUGAGGAGCGAAAGUGUGGGGAGCGAACAGG
rnacentral:rRNA from 1 species